CAAAUUACCAUAUUGAAUUGGUGCCUUUGCUGAGGAGACUGUAUUCUGCAUCUUAAGAGAUCUGCCUUCAUAUACAGAAGGUAUCUCAUGGAAGUGAAUCUCUCCAAAUGAUGGAAGAGGCAAUGAGGAAAUGUGAAAAGGGAUGGUUCAUCAAGCAAGCAAGAGGACACCGCACCCCAAAAUCUCAACAGAGUCUGCAAAAAAGUCUCAGAAGCACAUAAGGCCUACGAUGCCCUGUGUGGUCAUAAGAACAGAAAAGGAGAUCUGCCUGACUAGACCAAAAGUGCCAUCUAUUCUAGCAUUCCCAUGGCAGCUAACCAGAUUCUUUUGGAAAGCCCUGCAACUAGGACACAAAUACCAUAGCCCUAUGCUUCCCUUGUUUCCCAGCUUGUAGACAUGAAGAGCUCUAAUAUGCUCUAUUCUUUGUAUUUUUGUUUGUUUGUUUGUUUGUUUGUUAGUUUUUAGAUAACCAGCAAAUAAUUUAUAUCUGAUUUGAAGAAAGAGGAAAGCAUAUCAGGGAAAAAGAAGGAAAUACUAUGUUGUUCAAAAUCCUUUUGGGUAGCUAUGCCAAUAGUGUAGCAUUUGAAGACAAAUGGCCUCAAGUUACGAAUUCACUAUAGACAUUAUCACUUACAUGCUGAGUCAUAUGACUCACUACGUAACUGAUAAUAUCUACAGUCAUUUCUUAACUUGGGGUAAUUCUCCAGAAGUUACAGAUUUGUCCUAUGCCAGUAUUAUAUUUUCUGUAGUGUAAUAUUAAAUGAAGGCCAAAAAAAAGUUCAUCUGCCCAAUGAAAGAGCUAAACUGUGAUGGGAAGCAUUUGAGGUUUUGGGUGAUAGACCCCAACAGCCAACACGGGACAUUUUAAGAAUUGCAUAGAGCUGGACCUUGUAAUUUGUUUCAGUACCUGAAAUCCAGUAAUGGAAUUUAAGCAGCAGAAGACUGAUGAUGUCAUUAACCAUAAUGGAUUUCUGGAAGUGAAACAUUUUCAAUUCACCUCCCCCCUGAAAGUCCCAAGGCUUCCUUGGGAUCCCUUUCAUUGUGAAGAAGGCCUUGAGGGGCACAGCAUGGGGUGGAGACUUUUGAUUUCCAAAAAUUGUUGACACCGGGGUGAUUUUUUAA
rnacentral:lncRNA from 1 species